CGAGUGGCGAACGGGUGAGUAACGCGUGAGGAACCUGCCUCAAAGAGGGGGACAACAGUUGGAAACGACUGCUAAUACCGCAUAAGCCCACGACCCGGCAUCGGGUAGAGGGAAAAGGAGCAAUCCGCUUUGAGAUGGCCUCGCGUCCGAUUAGCUAGUUGGUGAGGUAAUGGCCCACCAAGGCGACGAUCGGUAGCCGGACUGAGAGGUUGAACGGCCACAUUGGGACUGAGACACGGCCCAA
rnacentral:rRNA from 1 species